CUUACCCACACCCCCUACCCUCUCUCCACUCCCCCAACUAUAAAUUCCCUUCUGUAGCAUGCUGCCCUUUUUGUAAUCCACAUUUGUGUUUCAGAUCAUGUAGAAAGGACAGAAAGUGAGCAGGGAGCGGGGGCUUUUGUCUAUUGUUCUCCUUGUGCUACUUGAGAGGAACUGCAAUCCCAAGACUUAACAGAACCUAAAAAUGCCCAUUACUAGAUGCACACUGGACAAAAGCAUCUCUUGGUCUGGCAUGAGAAAACUCAGACCUGGUUGAUUAUUACCAAGCCUGGUACUGGAACUGGAAUUGGAGUCUCCUUUAUGAGAUGGGGAAAGGAGGACACUUAAUAGUUCUAGAACAACUUUAUAAACAUAAUUCAGCUGGCUUCAUUGACUGGGGCAGGAUAUUUUAAUAAAAAUAGUUUUAUCGAUUUGUAUUUUGGUUUUAUUAUAUUUGGUUUUAUAUAUAUUAUUAUAAAUAUUUAUUCAUCUCAUUAAACC